GCCCAGACUCCUACGGGAGGCAGCAGUGGGGAAUAUUGCACAAUGGGGGGAACCCUGAUGCAGCGACGCCGCGUGGGUGAAGGAGCACCUCGGUGCGUAAAGCCCUAUCGGCAGGGAAGAAACAGACGGUACCUGACUAAGAAGCCCCGGCUAACUACGUGCCAGCAGCCGCGGUAAUACGUAGGGGGCAAGCGUUAUCCGGAUUUACUGGGUGUAAAGGGGGCGCAGACGGCAGCGCAAGCCAGGAGUGAAAGCCCGGGGCCCAACCCCGGGACUGCUCUGGAAACUGUGUAACUAGAGUGCAGGAGGGGUAAGCGGAAUUCCUAGUGUAGCGGUGAAAUGCGUAGAUAUAAGGAAGAACACCAGUGGCGAAGGCGGAUUACUGGACGAUAACUGACGGUGAGGCGCGAAAGCGUGGGGAGCAAACAGGAUUAGAUACCCGAGUA
rnacentral:rRNA from 1 species